rnacentral:rRNA from 1 species
GACGAACGCUGGCGGCGUGCCUAACACAUGCAAGUCGAGCGAAUGAAGUUCCUUCGGGAAUGGAUUUAGCGGCGGACGGGUGAGUAACACGUGGGCAACCUGCCUCAUAGAGGGGAAUAGCCUCCCGAAAGGGAGAUUAAUACCGCAUAAGAUUGUAGUACCGCAUGAUACAGCAAUUAAAGGAGCAAUCCGCUAUGAGAUGGGCCCGCGGCGCAUUAGCUAGUUGGUGAGGUAAUGGCUCACCAAGGCGACGAUGCGUAGCCGACCUGAGAGGGUGAUCGGCCACAUUGGGACUGAGACACGGCCCAGACUCCUACGGGAGGCAGCAGUGGGGAAUAUUGCACAAUGGGGGAAACCCUGAUGCAGCAACGCCGCGUGAGUGAUGACGGCCUUCGGGUUGUAAAGCUCUGUCUUCAGGGACGAUAAUGACGGUACCUGAGGAGUAAGCCACGGCUAACUACGUG